rnacentral:rRNA from 1 species
UGGGGAAUUUUGGACAAUGGGCGCAAGCCUGAUCCAGCCAUGCCGCGUGCAGGAUGAAGGCCUUCGGGUUGUAAACUGCUUUUGUACGGAACGAAAAGGUGCCUUCUAAUAAAGGGCGCUCAUGACGGUACCGUAAGAAUAAGCACCGGCUAACUACGUGCCAGCAGCCGCGGUAAUACGUAGGGUGCGAGCGUUAAUCGGAAUUACUGGGCGUAAAGCGUGCGCAGGCGGUUUUGUAAGACGGAGGUGAAAUCCCCGGGCUCAACCUGGGAACUGCCUUUGUGACUGCAAGGCUGGAGUGCGGCAGAGGGGGAUGGAAUUCCGCGUGUAGCAGUGAAAUGCGUAGAUAUGCGGAGGAACACCGAUGGCGAAGGCAAUCCCCUGGGCCUGCACUGACGCUCAUGCACGAAAGCGUGGGGAGCAAACA